UAUCGCAGCCCUAUAUGGGCGUUUCCUCCUUAGACUUUCAGGGCCGUUAUGCGGCCCUUUCUUUUUGCCUGA
rnacentral:sRNA from 1 species